UAGGGUUCGAUUCCGGAGAGGGAGCCUGAGAAACGGCUACCACAUCUAAGGAAGGCAGCAGGCGCGCAAAUUACCCAAUCCUAAUACAGGGAGGUAGUGACAAGAAAUAACAAUACAGGACUUUACGGUUUUGUAAUUGGAAUGAGUUAAGUAUAAACCCCUUUACAAGUAUCAAUUGGAGGGCAAGUCUGGUGCCAGCAGCCGCGGUAAUUCCAGCUCCAAUAGCGUAUAUUAAGGUUGUUGCAGUUAAAAAGCUCGUAGUUGGAUUUCUGUUAAUACCUUAUAUAUAAUAUUUUUUUUAAAUAUUAUUAUGUAAGAUUAACAUAAUUCAUAUUUAAGACUGAAUUUUUAGUUUUGAUAAUAUGAAAUUUUACUUUGAGAAAAUUAGAGUGCUUAAAGCAGGCUUUUGCCUUGAAUACUCCAGCAUGGAAUAAUAAUAAAAGAUUUUUAUCUUUUUUUUAUUGGUUCUAAGAUAAAAAUAAUGAUUAAUAGGGACAGUUGGGGGCAUUUGUAUUUAACAGUCAGA
rnacentral:rRNA from 1 species